rnacentral:rRNA from 1 species
ACGGAGGCAGCAGUGGGGAAUAUUGCACAAUGGGGGAAACCCUGAUGCAGCAACGCCGCGUGAGUGAAGAAGUAUUUCGGUAUGUAAAGCUCUAUCAGCAAGGAAGAAAAUGACGGUACUUGACUAAGAAGCUCCGGCUAAAUACGUGCCAGCAGCCGCGGUAAUACGUAUGGAGCAAGCGUUAUCCGGAUUUACUGGGUGUAAAGGGAGCGCAGACGGCAUGGCAAGCCAGAUGUGAAAUGCGGGGGCUCAACUCCUGAACUGCAUUUGGAACUGUCAAGCUAGAGUAUCGGAGAGGUAAGUGGAAUUCCUAGUGUAGCGGUGAAAUGCGUAGAUAUUAGGAGGAACACCAGUGGCGAAGGCGGCUUACUGGACGAUAACUGACGUUGAGGCUCGAAAGCGUGGGGAGCAAACAGGAUUAGAUACCCUGGUA